rnacentral:rRNA from 1 species
UACCAGCACCUCGAGUGGUCAGGACGUUUAUUGGGCCUAAAGCAUCCGUAGCCGGCUUUGCAAGUCUCCGGUUAAAUCCACCUGCUCAACAGAUGGGCCGCUGGAGAUACUACAAGGCUAGGGAGUGGGAGAGGCGGACGGUAUUCGGGGGGUAGGGGUAAAAUCCUCUGAUCCUCCGAGGACCACCAGUGGCGAAGGCGGUCUGCCAGAACACGUUCGACGGUGAGGGAUGAAAGCUGGGGGAGCAAACCGG